CUGGUGUCAGCCGCCGCUUUAAUACCAGCACCUCGAGUGGUCAGGACGUUUAUUGGGCCUAAAGCAUCCGUAGCCGGCUCUGCAAGUCUUCGGUUAAAUCCACCUGCUCAACAGAUGGGCUGCUGGAGAUACUACAGAGCUAGGGAGUGGGAGAGGCAGACGGUAUUCAGUGGGUAGGGGUAAAAUCCUCUGAUCCAUUGAGGACCACCAGUGGCGAAGGCGGUCUGCCAGAACACGUUCGACGGUGAGGGAUGAAAGCUGGGGGAGCAAACCGGAUUAGAUACCCGGGUAGUCCCGGCUGUAAACGAUGCAAACUCGGUGAUGCAUUGGCUUAUGGCCAAUGCAGUGCCGCAGGGAAGCCGUUAAGUUUGCCGCCUGGGAAGUACGGACGCAAGUCUGAAACUUAAAG
rnacentral:rRNA from 2 species